rnacentral:rRNA from 1 species
UACGAAGGGUGCAACCGUUGCUCGGAAUUAUUGGGCGUAAAGAGCUCGUAGGCGGUCUGUUGCGUCCGCUGUGAAAACUCGGGGCUUAACCCCGAGCCUGCAGUGGAUACGGGCAGACUAGAGGUAGGUAGGGGAGAAUGGAAUUCCCGGUGUAGCGGUGAAAUGCGCAGAUAUCGGGAGGAACACCGGUGGCGAAGGCGGUUCUCUGGGCCUUACCUGACGCUGAGGAGCGAAAGCGUGGGGAGCGAACAGG